rnacentral:lncRNA from 1 species
CUGGCUGGUUCUCACCAUUAGGUGCUUUCACUGGCCUCUGCCUUUGCAUGCACUGUUCCUGGCCUGAAACACCCUUCACCUCACUCUUGGCCUUCAACGCUUAACCUUCAUUGAACACCAUGUGGAUUUGAGUGACAUUCCAAGAUUUGGAGCAGAUUGAAUUUGGUGUUGAGAGGAGCAAGAGAGAGAAAGACGUCAAAAUAAGUCAAAUGUGUUCCUACUGGUGUAUUGCAACUUGUAGUGAUGCAGGAAGUGGGGAAAUUGGAAAGGAGGGAGUUUGUGGGGGAGGAGAUGCUCUCCUUCUUUGAGCAGGGUGGAUUUCUCCGGCCAGUGACACAGUCAUUGAGGACAGCCAAAGUCAUCAAGAAAAGACACAGUGAGAACUCAGCCUUGGGGGUGGUGACCUGGGAGUCCCUGGGUUGCUAGUUAGUGGUCAGAACUGGGCCUGAUGGACAAACUCAGGCAAGGUAGGGGUUAGGUGGGGACCAAAGCAGGCCAGGCUGAUGGUGGAGUGCGCAGGGCCAGGCACCCUCCCUGGAGGCAUCAGCCUGGGCUUGCUUUACUACUCUGGAAGGGAACCCAAGCCCCAGGACGCUAAAUCUUAUGCCAAUGUUCAAAUAUAACCAUUUCUUUCUUUUUUUUUUUUUUUUUUUUGAGACGGAGUCUCUCUUUGGAGUGCAGUGGCGCCAUCUUGGCCCCCUGAAACCUCCGACUCCCUGGUCCAAGCGAUUCUCCUGCUUCAGCCUCCCGCGUAGCUGGGAUUACAGGCAUGCGCCACCGUGGCCAGCUAAUUUUUGUAUUUUCACUAGAGACAGGGUUUCACCAUGUUGACCAGGAUGGUCUCGAUCUGCUGACCUUGUGAUCCGCCCGCCUCGGUCUCCCAAAGUGUUGUUGGGAUUACAGGCAUGAGCCACCACGCCGGACCAAAUAUAACCAUUUCUAAAAGCAUUCCUCAGCGCUUGGAACUUGCGAGCUGAUGGCUUUUGGUGGAGCCCAGGAGGGGCGCUGUGGGGCACAGACGUGUGCGGGG